AUUCCAGCUCCAAUAGCGUAUAUUUAAGUUGUUGCAGUUAAAAAGCUCGUAGUUGGAUCUUGGGUCGUAAAGGUCGGUCCGCCUACUCGGUGUGCACCUGCCCUUCCGUCCCUUUUGUCGGCGGCGUGCUCCUGGCCUUAAUUGGCUGGGUCGCGGCUCCGGCGCUGUUACUUUGAAAAAAUUAGAGUGCUCAAAGCAAGCUUAUGCUCUGAAUACAUUAGCAUGGAAUAACGUGAUAGGAGUCUGGUCCUAUUGUGUUGGCCUUCGGGACCGGAGUAAUGAUUAAUAGGGACUGUCGGGGGCAUUCGUAUUUCAUUGUCAGAGGUGAAAUUCUUGGAUUUAUGAAAGACGGACCACUGCGAAAGCAUUUGCCAAGGAUGUUUUCAUCA
rnacentral:rRNA from 1 species